UCGAACGAUGAACCACUUCGGUGGGGAUUAGUGGCGAACGGGUGAGUAACACGUGGGCAAUCUGCCCUUCACUCUGGGACAAGCCCUGGAAACGGGGUCUAAUACCGGAUAACACUUCCACUCUCCUGGGUGGAGGUUAAAAGCUCCGGCGGUGAAGGAUGAGCCCGCGGCCUAUCAGCUUGUUGGUGAGGUAAUGGCUCACCAAGGCGACGACGGGUAGCCGGCCUGAGAGGGCGACCGGCCACACUGGGACUGAGACACGGCCCAGACUCCUACGGGAGGCAGCAGUGGGGAAUAUUGCACAAUGGGCGAAAGCCUGAUGCAGCGACGCCGCGUGAGGGAUGACGGCCUUCGGGUUGUAAACCUCUUUCAGCAGGGAAGAAGCGAAAGUGACGGUACCUGCAGAAGAAGCGCCGGCUAACUACGUGCCAGCAGCCGCGGUAAUACGUAGGGCGCAAGCGUUGUCCGGAAUUAUUGGGCGUAAAGAGCUCGUAGGCGGCUUGUCACGUCGGGUGUGAAAGCCCGGGGCUUAACCCCGGGUCUGCAUUCGAUACGGGCUAGCUAGAGUGUGGUAGGGGAGAUCGGAAUUCCUGGUGUAGCGGUGAAAUGCGCAGAUAUCAGGAGGAACACCGGUGGCGAAGGCGGAUCUCUGGGCCAUUACUGACGCUGAGGAGCGAAAGCGUGGGGAGCGAACAGGAUUAGAUACCCUGGUAGUCCACGCCGUAAACGGUGGGAACUAGGUGUUGGCGACAUUCCACGUCGUCGGUGCCGCAGCUAACGCAUUAAGUUCCCCGCCUGGGGAGUACGGCCGCAAGGCUAAAACUCAAAGGA
rnacentral:rRNA from 1 species